rnacentral:rRNA from 1 species
GACGAACGCUGGCGGCGUGCUUAACACAUGCAAGUCGAACGAUGAAGCCGGAGCUUGCUCUGGUGGAUUAGUGGCGAACGGGUGAGUAACACGUGAGUAACCUGCCCUUGACUCUGGGAUAAGCGUUGGAAACGACGUCUAAUACCGGAUACGAGCUAGGACCGCAUGGUCACUAGCUGGAAAGAACUUCGGUCAAGGAUGGACUCGCGGCCUAUCAGAUAGUUGGUGAGGUAACGGCUCACCAAGACGACGACGGGUAGCCGGCCUGAGAGGGUGACCGGCCACACUGGGACUGAGACACGGCCCAGACUCCUACGGGAGGCAGCAGUGGGGAAUAUUGCACAAUGGGCGCAAGCCUGAUGCAGCAACGCCGCGUGAGGGACGACGGCCUUCGGGUUGUAAACCUCUUUUAGCAGGGAAGAAGCGCAAGUGACGGUACCUGCAGAAAAAGCACCGGCUAACUACGUGCCAGCAGCCGCAGUAA